rnacentral:pre_miRNA from 1 species
ACUGGAGGGGGGGGGGGUUCCCUCAGCCUGGAUUGUGAGAGGGCGCAGGUCAGGCCAAGGGACCUUCCACCAGUGCAGG